rnacentral:lncRNA from 1 species
AUGGGUACACACAAGUCCAUCCAGGAGGCAUGGAGGAAGAAGUAGUUUGAUGUAGUGUGCUUUCACUGAUGGCAGUACCAUCAGCUCUCUUCUCUCCACAGAGAUCCUGGCCCCACCCAGCCCAAUAAAGUGUGCAGACUAGGCCACACAAGGUUAUGUCAUAUAUAGGAUUUGUGUGUACUGUGGCGGCUGAAAAUGCCCAGUUCCUAAGGGUGCAAUGUAUGGGUAGCCUGUCCUUUAUGGUGGUAAUCUGCUGAAGUUUGCUCAAAGCCUUCGGUACAUUGCUAAGGAGUGAGCUGGACACCACUGUGGGGCCGCGUCCUGAAUUCUUACUGGGUUGGUGAAGAUUCCACGUACACAUUUUUGAGGUUUUCCUCAUUGAUCAAUUCCAUAAAGCUAUAGAAGAAGUCCUGACACCCAACAGAUCACCAUACCAGUCUAUAAGCACAGGGUGAUGCGUGGGCUGACAUCUGCCAGCUGAAAGAGCAAUGGCUUGGAUGGUCCCUAAAUUCCACAAAACUAUGUCUGGUUCUUGCCAUGCAGCUUGGAGAAGGUAGAAUGCUCUCCAGCUCCAC